AGCGAACGCUGGCGGCAGGCCUAACACAUGCAAGUCGAACGGAUCCUUCGGGAUUAGUGGCGGACGGGUGAGUAUCACGUGGGAACGUGCCCUUUGGUUCGGAACAACUCAGGGAAACUUGAGCUAAUACCGGAUGUGCCCUUCGGGGGAAAGAUUUAUCGCCAUUGGAGCGGCCCGCGUCUGAUUAGCUAGUUGGUGAGGUAACGGCCCACCAAGGCGACGAUCAGUAGCUGGUCUGAGAGGAUGAUCAGCCACACUGGGACUGAGACACGGCCCAGACUCCUACGGGAGGCAGCAGUGGGGAAUCUUGCGCAAUGGGCGAAAGCCUGACGCAGCCAUGCCGCGUGAAUGAUGAAGGUCUUAGGAUUGUAAAAUUCUUUCAGCGGGGACGAUAAUGACGGUACCCGCAGAAGAAGCUCCGGCUAACUUCGUG
rnacentral:rRNA from 1 species